UACGGGGGGGGUAAGCGUUGUUCGGAAUCACUGGGCUUAAAGGGCGCGUAGGCGGGUGCUCAAGUCCGUGGUGAAAUCCUCCGGCUCAACCGGAGAACUGCCUCGGAUACUGGGCGUCUCGAGUGUGGUAGGGGUAUGCGGAACUAUCGGUGGAGCGGUGAAAUGCGUUGAUAUCGAUAGGAACUCCGGUGGCGAAGGCGGCAUACUGGACCACCACUGACGCUGAUGCGCGAAAGCCAGGGGAGCAAACGGG
rnacentral:rRNA from 1 species